rnacentral:rRNA from 1 species
AUUGAACGCUGGCGGCAGGCCUAACACAUGCAAGUCGGACGGUAGCACAGGGGAGCUUGCUCCUCGGGUGACGAGUGGCGGACGGGUGAGUAAUGUCUGGGGAUCUGCCCGAUAGAGGGGGAUAACCACUGGAAACGGUGGCUAAUACCGCAUAACGUCGCAAGACCAAAGAGGGGGACCUUCGGGCCUCUCACUAUCGGAUGAACCCAGAUGGGAUUAGCUAGUAGGCGGGGUAAUGGCCCACCUAGGCGACGAUCCCUAGCUGGUCUGAGAGGAUGACCAGCCACACUGGAACUGAGACACGGUCCAGACUCCUACGGGAGGCAGCAGUGGGGAAUAUUGCACAAUGGGCGCAAGCCUGAUGCAGCCAUGCCGCGUGUAUGAAGAAGGCCUUCGGGUUGUAAAGUACUUUCAGCGGGGAGGAAGGCGGUGCGGUUAAUAACCGCGCCGAUUGACGUUACCCGCAGAAGAAGCACCGGCUAACUCCGUGCCAGCAGCCGCAGUAA